CUGGCACCCAUGUGGCAAACGUGGUUGGAAUUCCAGUCUUCCAGAUUUAGCCCAGCCUCUGCCAUCACAACUCUUUGGGGAGUGAACCAGCAGGUAGAAGUACUUAUUCUCUCCCUCUCUGUCAUUCUGUAUUUCCAAGAGUGUCCUGGAGACAGUCUGGUGGAUGUCCUUAAUUGCAGGUGACACACGGGUGAGCAGCUCUCCCCCUCCCCCAAUA